GGAAAAAAAAAAAGAGUCAAUAACAAGAAGUAACCUCUUAAUGUACCAAAAUUUUCAAUGUAAAGCAAAAGGUGGUGGGGGGAAGAAAAAAGGCAGUGUGUUCUAUGGCUAGAGAUUGUGAAGGUUGGAAUUUCUAUUUUGAAGUUAGACUUGAAGAAGAAAAGAAUGAUUGAAUGCAUGCCAUGGGAAUCACCAUCUUAACAAAAAGAAGAUUGCAUGUGGCAGAAAGUGUAAUUCUUCAUGGGAAAUGUAAAAAUCUUUUGCAUUUUCAUUUUCUUCUAUAUUUCCACAUGUCAGCAGAAACAUUCUGUACAAUUUUAUGUUCUUUGUAAUAUCUUUGUGCAGUUUUAUUUUAGUGCAAGAAUUUCCAUCAAUUCAUGGACAAUGAUCAUACUACUAAAACUAUUAUAUUAAUCUUGGACUUGAGUAGAGAAAUCCAUGAUCCUUAGACCUUGAGACAGAGAAUUGAGUGCCAAGCCAUCUAUGUACAAGCAAGAUUGUGGUGGUAAUAAUAACAAACACAACUAGACUGUACAGUCUAUGAGAAUGUGCAAGAGUGAAGAUGCAAAAUGCCAUCAUCCAUAUUAAAAAGACAAAAGAAGGAAGCCCAUUGGAAAAUAAUUUGUAGUUCAAAACAAGGGAAAUUGAUUAAAUGAAAUCCUUCUAAUUAAGAUCGGCUGGAUUUCUCUUCAAAUGGUGGAGAUUGAGGGAAGAAGUUCCAAUACUGGGAAAAAGAUCAACAAAAGGAUCUAAAGAACUAAUGUUGUUCCAGUGCAUCAUUUUCUGACACUUUAGUUCAUGUCCAGAGAAUAUGUUUGUGCCUUUUGAUGGUAUGAAAAGUCAAAUUAGGAGCAAUAUGAAUAAGAAGUUUCAGAUCCUAUAGAUUAUAUGAUUGGUGAGGCAGGGGAGUAGAGGAAGUGAGAAAGUGACAAUAUGAACCAAGGGGCGGAUGUACUGACGGAUUCACAGCAAUAAUCAGAUAAAAUAAUAUUUUUCACAUGAGACAUUUGCAAGAAUAUGUAUCCAGUAGCCAUUAGCUAAUACCU
rnacentral:misc_RNA from 1 species